UUUUUUCAGGGAUUUUUUAGGGCCCUUUAAACGGCCCCAAAAACUCAAUCUUGAAUUGAGUUUUGAAACUCAAUCUUCUCGCCAAAGUUUCAGUGCAGUAAAAAUGAAGUUGUUUGAGUUAUAAAAUGUUGUGAUGUGUGGAAAUUAGUUUUCAGUUGGAAGCCCGACAAGCCAUCUUUAACCAGUUUAUAGUGUCCCUGUUUUAACACAUUCUGUCUCAAUUACAUUUAUUGAGUACAUGUGUCAGCCCACCGGUAGGCGGGGGGCCGGUGCAGCCACCCCAACUGUUCAGCUAAACUCAAUCUUCUCUGCAAAAACGGACCCAAGAGAAAAUCCUGGAAAAAACCCUGGGAGAAACUCAAUUCACUACAACACAUUGCUGUGCUAUCAGAACUACUAUAAUUUCAGUAAAUAUACAAG